rnacentral:snRNA from 1 species
GCAGUAAGGCUGGUGUGUGCAGUAACCACACUGAUCGCCAGGGUUGGUUAGGCUGAUCCCGCUGGCUGGAUGGGGUUCCCUUUCUCCCUCACUGCUCCAUGUGUGUCCCUCCCAAAGCUGCGCACCUGGUCAGAGAACACGCCCACCCCAGUGGAGGAGGACUGUUCCCUUGGUGAGGGUGUAUGAGUAGCUGUGUCCCCUGCCAUCGCCUCUAAAUAAGCUCUCAAGUUACAGUGAGGCUUCUGAUCAUAGGCAGGGUAUUGCUAGUUAAGUUUUUUUGGAAUCAAAAAUUAUAAUGAUUUUU